UUCAUGUUCCCCACUUGCAUUCAUAGCUACAACACCACUCCAUUUCACCCCCCAUGUUUUGCAUCAUUACUUGACUUUCACCUUUGAAUCAUUGCUCACACCACCAUCCAUCCCUCCAUGCCUGGCAGCCAUUACAUUCAGUUUUUGCUUGAUAAUUCAUCCCCAAUUCAAUACAACUUUCAUCCAAACACAUCCAUUCACCUUCACAUCCAUUCCUCCAUACAACCAAACCUUCAAACACUCACCAACACCUUGUGCCGUAGCAAAGGAAGGGAAUGAAAGUGCUUGGAUGUGCAUGCUGUCCAACUUGGAUCGUUGGAGCGUUUAGGUGUUUUCUUUCUUUUGUUUUCAAUGUCUAAAUUUGUUUAUCUUUGCUUUGUAAGUAUGAGGAACUAAACCCCCCUUAGCUAGGGGGGAAUUCGAAAC
rnacentral:lncRNA from 1 species